rnacentral:lncRNA from 1 species
AUGUUAGGGAGCCAAUCAUCAUCACUUAUGCGGUUGUCUCGCUCCUCCCUCCUCCCUCACCGGAGGAAAAAAAAAAUUUCAGACCAUCGACUCAGUCUUUGUCCGGGGAAUUAUGCAGCAGUUCACACAAUUUUUCUGACUUCAGCGUACAUUAUUCACACCGACAAUAGCAGGCCACCGAAUUAUAAAGCAACGACUUCGUCAGCGGAAGGUGUUGCUUGAGCAAGCCCCGACGGCAGCAUGCAUCGACGGCAGUAGGCCCCGACGCGCGUGGACUGCGAGGGCCCGUUCAACGCUGCUUGCAGCUUUAAUUCUUAUUUGUAAUUAUAUUUCCUAUAGAUGUCAUGAUCUUAAUUCUAUUUUAUUCUUGUGUAUUCUGUGAAGUUUUUUAAAGUAGCCAAGUUUUUUAAAUCUUGUACUUUUAUCCAUCCUGUGAAGCAUUUUUUACUAGCCAAGGUUUUAGUUUUGAACCACACUGGAGAGUUUGCUGUGUGUAAUUCUCUUAGACACAUUAAAAAAUUCAUAUCAAGUGUUGAGCGGUGUAUCCUCUUGGUCCACCCACCCUCCCACACAGUCUUAGAGAGACUGAGGCAGCCGGCGAGGUUGUGAAGCCAGGCUGCAAAGAGGAUACCCCAACUCAACUUUUAGAUUUUACCAUUGUCAGUUUAAGAUUUGUGCAUGUUUUAAAUCAAAAUGUGACUGCUGAAAAAAACCAACAUAUUAUACUUUUUCACUCAAAAUGGUGUUAAACAAUUUCUUAAUCCCUGCAAUUAAUAAGUAUUAGUUAAGUCACAAAUUCCUAGUAUUUUUUAUUUAUUAUGAUUAUUAUUAUUUAUUUAUUAUUUUAAGACUCACCAGAUUUUUUCAUGAGCUGCUGCAGGAGAUUACACAGUACACAGGAUUGUGAUAGCUGUAGUACGUUUUCAUGACACCUGAAGUGAGACAGUGUUGUGGUUGAGAGAUGAAAAUGAGGUCCAGCAGUGUGUUCUUCUCUGUGGUUGCAGCAGUGAUCAGUUGGGCAUAUUCCCUCGACCGAAACAGCUCCAGUAUUGGCAUACUUCCGUUGGAUAAGAGAUUCUCAUUGAAAUCACCACAGACAAUGAUGGGGUGGCAAUCCAUUAUCUCCAGUGAAUCCAAAAGGCUUACCAGGUUUGACAGGAAUGAUGCAAUGCUGUAGUCUGGAGGUCUGUACACAGCUGCAAUCAGCGCACUCAUAGGGGCUUCAACCUUCAGAGCCACAAACUCAAGAUCAGUCACAUUAUGUAGAUACUGUUUUUC